rnacentral:rRNA from 1 species
AUUGAACGCUGGCGGCAUGCCUUACACAUGCAAGUCGAACGGUAACAGGUCUUCGGAUGCUGACGAGUGGCGAACGGGUGAGUAAUACAUCGGAACGUGCCUAGUAGUGGGGGAUAACUAUACGAAAGAGUGGCGAAUAUCGCAUGAGAUCUAGGGAUGAAAGCAGGGGAUCGCAACACCUUGUGCUACUAGAGCGGCAGAUGGCAGAUUAGGCAGUUGGUGGGAUAAAAGCUUACCAAGCCGACGAUCUGUAGCUGGUCUGAGAGGACGAUCAGCCACACUGGGACUGAGACACGGCCCAGACUCCUACGGGAGGCAGCAGUGGGGAAUUUUGGACAAUGGGCGCAAGCCUGAUCCAGCAAUGCCGCGUGCAGGAUGAAGGCCUUCGGGUUGUAAACUGCUUUUGUACGGAACGAAAAGCCCUGGGUUAAUACCCUGGGGUCAUGACGGUACCGUAAGAAUAAGCACCGGCUAACUACGUGCCAGCCGCCGCAGUAAAAC